GGACUACCAGGGUAUCUAAUCCUGUUUGCUCCCCACGCUUUCGCGCCUCAGCGUCAGGUUAAGGCUAGAAAACCGCCUUCGCCACCGGUGUUCUUCCACAUAUCUACGCAUUUCACCGCUACAUGUGGAAUUCCGUUUUCCCCGCCUUACCUCAAGUACGGAAGUUUCAGAUGCUGCUCCGAGGUUGAGCCCCGGAAUUUCACAUCUGACUUUCCCUACCGCCUACGCGCCCUUUACGCCCAAUAAAUCCGAUUAAUGCUUGCACCCUCCGUAUUACCGCGGCUGCUGGCAC
rnacentral:rRNA from 1 species